UCCGGUUUGUCACCGGCAGUCUCGCAUGAGUCCCCAACUUAAUGCUGGCAACAUGCGACGGGGGUUGCGCUCGUUGCGGGACUUAACCCAACAUCUCACGACACGAGCUGACGACAGCCAUGCACCACCUGUGAUCGCGUCCCGAAGGAAAGGUGUGUUUCCACACCGGUCGCGAACAUGUCAAGCCCAGGUAAGGUUCUUCGCGUUGCGUCGAAUUAAACCACAUGCUCCGCUGCUUGUGCGGGCCCCCGUCAAUUCCUUUGAGUUUCAGCCUUGCGGCCGUACUCCCCAGGCGGGGCACUUAAUGCGUUAGCGCCGGCACCCAGGGGGUCGCUCCCCCAGGCACCUAGUGCCCAUCGUUUACGGCGUGGACUAC
rnacentral:misc_RNA from 1 species